rnacentral:rRNA from 1 species
UGAUCUCAAAUCAGGCAGGACUACCCGCUGAACUUAAGCAUAUCAAUAAGCGGAGGAAAAGAAACUAACAAGGAUUCCCCUAGUAACUGCGAGUGAAGCGGGAAGAGCUCAAAUUUUAAAUCUGGCGUGCCUCUGGUCGUCCGAGUUGUAGUCUGGAGAAGCGUUUU